GGGCCCAGAACUGAUCCCUGGGGAACACCAGCUGAGACAUUACAGAAGGAAGAAGACGAGUUAUUUAAUACUACUCUCUGUUUUCUGUCGUGUAGAUAAUCCUGAAACCAAUUCAAUACGUUUCCGUCAACACCAUAAGCUUUCAUUUUAUAUAUAAGACCCCUAUGCCAAACUUUGUCAAAAGCUUUAGAGAAGUCACAGAAUACAAAACAAUUU
rnacentral:lncRNA from 1 species